rnacentral:rRNA from 1 species
AACGAACGCUGGCGGCAUGCCUAACACAUGCAAGUCGAACGAGACCUUCGGGUCUAUUGGCGCACGGGUGCGUAACGCGUGGGAACCUGCCCUUAUGGUCGGAAUAACUCCCCGAAAGGGGUGCUAAUACCGGAUAAUGUCUUCGGACCAAAGAUUUAUCGCCUUUGGAUGGGCCCGCGUUGGAUUAGCUAGUUGGUAGGGUAAAAGCCUACCAAGGCGACGAUCCAUAGCUGGGCUGAGAGGAUGAUCAGCCACACUGGGACUGAGACACGGCCCAGACUCCUACGGGAGGCAGCAGUGGGGAAUAUUGGACAAUGGGCGAAAGCCUGAUCCAGCAAUGCCGCGUGAGUGAUGAAGGCCUUAGGGUUGUAAAGCUCUUUUAACCGGGAUGAUAAUGACAGUACCGGGAGAAUAAGCUCCGGCUAACUCCGUG